rnacentral:rRNA from 1 species
AUGUCCGCCCCUAAAUGUCAGGGUGGGAUGGGAUUCCAAGACAUGCAUCAGUUUAACUUAGCACUACUUGGAAAACAGGGGUGGCGCCUCAUGAUGAAGCCAAACUCCUUGUGUGCUAGAGUGUUAAAAGGUCGUUAUUUCCCAGAUUGUGAUUUUAUGCAAGCGUCUGUUCCUAGGUCAGCUUCGGCCACUUGGCGAGCAAUAAUUGCAAGCAGGGAAGCUUUGAAUCUGGGAUUAGUAAAAAGAGUUGGGGAUGGAAGUUCCAUCCGAGUGUGGACAGAGAAGUGGAUUCCAGGAACUAUUUCAAUGAUGCCCAUGCUAAAACCCGCCAACUCCACGGUUGAGCUCGUCUCUGAGCUAAUUGAUUCAAAUAAUUGGACGUGGCGUCAACAGGUGGUUCGUGACAAUUUUAUUGCUCCGGAUGCGGAGGCGAUUCUUAACAUCCCGCUACGUUUUGGAGGUGGGGAUGAUUUUCAUGCGUGGGCAUUUGACAGAACGGGUAAUUACGCUGUUAAGACCGCGUACCGUGCUCUUGUGACUCGAACAGAGCGGCUUGCUCUAGAGGAAGGGACGGCUACCGGAGCUAUCACAGAAUGA